AGAGUUUGAUCCUGGCUCAGGAUGAACGCUAGCGGCAGGCUUAAUACAUGCAAGUCGAGGGGCAGCAGGUCCCGCAAGGGAUGCUGGCGACCGGCAAACGGGUGCGGAACACGUACACAACUUUCCUUUAAGUGGGGAAUAGCCCGGGGAAACCCGGAUUAAUACCCCGUAACAUUAUGAGAUGGCAUCGUCUUAUAAUUAUAGCUCCGGCGCUUAAAGAUGGGUGUGCGGCUGAUUAGGUAGUUGGCGGGGUAACGGCCCACCAAGCCUACGAUCAGUAACUGGUGUGAGAGCACGACCAGUCACACGGGCACUGAGACACGGGCCCGACUCCUACGGGAGGCAGCAGUAAGGAAUAUUGGUCAAUGGACGCAAGUCUGAACCAGCCAUGCCGCGUGGAGGAUGAAGGUCCUCUGGAUUGUAAACUUCUUUUAUCUGGGAAGAAACCCAUAUUUUCUAGUGUGGUUGACGGUACCAGAUGAAUAAGCACCGGCUAACUCCGUGCCAGCAGCCGCGGUAAUACGGAGGGUGCAAGCGUUAUCCGGAUUCACUGGGUUUAAAGGGUGCGUAGGCGGACAAGUAAGUCAGUGGUGAAAUCUCUGGGCUUAACUCAGAACUGCCGUUGAUACUAUUUGUCUUGAAUAUCAUGGAGGUAAGCGGAAUAUGUCAUGUAGCGGUGAAAUGCUUAGAUAUGACAUAGAACACCGAUAGCGAAGGCAGCUUACUACAUGUUAAUUGACGCUGAGGCACGAAAGCGUGGGGAGCAAACAGGAUUAGAUACCCUAGUAGUCC
rnacentral:rRNA from 1 species